AUAUUUUAAAUGGGUUAGAAUUAAGAUGAAGAGUGUCUAUAACAUCUAGAGGAUGGAUCUGCAAAAGGACUAAAGAAGAUGUCAUUUCUUUCAUUUUUCAUUUGUAUAAUUUCUAAGAAAGGCUGGUCCAAUUUAGGAAGUGGAAUCCUCUAGUGUCAUAAGGGGAGAGGCAAAGCCUUCAAUUCCUCCUAUGUUACUGAAAUCUCGAGUUACCCACAGUCAUGUGUUAUUCACCUCACCUCAUGCUCUCACAUCCAUCACGAGAAGGGAAAGGGUAAAUUUGGAGACAGCCUCACACACAGGGACAACUGUCAUGUGAACAUGAAGAUGGUCAUCUACAAGCUAAGGAGAGAGGCCUGGAAGAGAUCCCUCCCUCAUGGUUCUCAGAAGGAACCUUUCCUGCCAAUACCUUCAUUUUGGUCUUCUGGCCUCCAGAGCUGUGAGACAUUGCAUUUCUAUUGUUUAAGUCAUCCAGCUUUUGCUCGGUUUAAGCAGCCCUAGCAAACCAUUACAAGAGUCACAACUCCACUUAGAGUUACUUUUCUUUAAAAACAGCAAAUGCUUACAUAUAAAUUUAGCCUAUUCAAGGGCUUUUUGUUCAUUGUUCUUAUCAAGUUGGUCUAUUUUGUUAUUUUAUGAAGUAGGUCCAUGGGUCUUAGUGAGGUUUCUAGCCUCUCAUGGGUCUGGAUUUCCAAUGGUGACAAUCUGAUGGCUCAGUAAAAGUAACACUGGACCGGACAUUAUGCAGAAGGUGGUGGCUCUGCCACCACCUAUAUUGGUGGGUCACCUAGGAUUUCCAGGCUCAGCUGCUUCUUAGUAAAAAAGCCAGCUUUUCUGGGUUUCUAAUAUCCUUUUCUGUUCAAUGAUUCUGUAAUAAUGUGAUUUUGUCUCAAAGUUGAAGUCAACAUAGCAUAACCAAGUGGAGGAAGUGAAGCCAUUAAAAAUCAUUAUGGAGGGCGCCUGGGGAGCUCCGUGUGAUAUCCCUGCUUCUUGGGGGAUUUUGUUUUGGACGUAGUAAAUGUACUCAGGAUUCUAACACUCUCCCUGACUGUA